rnacentral:piRNA from 1 species
UUCUGGUACUCUUGGUAUGCUAUGGUUC